AGGCGGGCGGUGCACACAGAGCGAACUACUCUUUCGCCUUUUACUAAAGAAUACCGUGUGUUCGACGCAUGCACCGGUAUACGCCUUUUUAUUUCAAUUAACUUAUUUUUAAAAG